CCCGAAUGGGACCUCCCGCGGCUUUUGCCGCACUCCCGUCAGGGAGGGGGAACGCGGGGAAUUGAAACAUCUUAGUACCCGCAGGAAAAGAAAGCAAAAGCGAU
rnacentral:rRNA from 1 species